UGGGGAAUUUUGCACAAUGGGGGCAACCCUGAUGCAGCGACGCCGCGUGAUUUAGAAGGCCUUCGGGUUGUAAAAAUCUUUUGUAUGGGAAGAAAAUGACAGUACCAUACGAAUAAGGACCGGCUAAUUACGUGCCAGCAGCCGCGGUAAUACGUAAGGUCCGAGCGUUGUCCGGAAUCAUUGGGCGUAAAGGGUACGUAGGCGGAUAAGCAAGUUAGAAGUGAAAUCCUAUAGCUCAACUAUAGUAAGCUUUUAAAACUGCUCAUCUUGGGGUAUGGAAGGGAAAGUGGAAUUCCUAGUGUAGCGGUGAAAUGCGCAGAUAUUAGGAGGAAUACCGGUGGCGAAGGCGACUUUCUGGCCAUAAACUGACGCUGAGGUACGAAAGCGUGGGUAGCAAACAGG
rnacentral:rRNA from 1 species